rnacentral:tRNA from 1 species
CGGGAAAUAGUCGAGUGAUAAGAUGCAUGAUUUGGGUUCAUGUGACGGGAGUUUGAUUCUCUCUUUCCCGACCA